UGGCAGUGCUGGGUAGCCAAGUUUGGACGGGAUAAGCGCUGAAAGCAUCUAAGCGCGAAACCCACCUCAAGAUAAGACUUCCCAUUCCGUUAAGGAAGUAAGACCCCAGGAAGAAUACCUGGUAGAUAGGCUAGGAGUGUAAGGGCAGUAAUGUCUUAAGCGGACUAGUACUAAUCGGUCGAGGACUUGACCA
rnacentral:rRNA from 1 species